UGGGGAAUAUUGGACAAUGGGCGCAAGCCUGAUCCAGCCAUACCGCGUGGGUGAAGAAGGCCUUCGGGUUGUAAAGCCCUUUUGUUGGGAAAGAAAUCCAGCUGGCUAAUACCCGGUUGGGAUGACGGUACCCAAAGAAUAAGCACCGGCUAACUUCGUGCCAGCAGCCGCGGUAAUACGAAGGGUGCAAGCGUUACUCGGAAUUACUGGGCGUAAAGCGUGCGUAGGUGGUCGUUUAAGUCCGUUGUGAAAGCCCUGGGCUCAACCUGGGAACUGCAGUGGAUACUGGACGACUAGAGUGUGGUAGAGGGUAGCGGAAUUCCUGGUGUAGCAGUGAAAUGCGUAGAGAUCAGGAGGAACAUCCAUGGCGAAGGCAGCUACCUGGACCAACACUGACACUGAGGCACGAAAGCGUGGGGAGCAAACAGGAUUAGAUACCCCUGUAGUCCCUGAGCGGGCUGGCAAGGCGCAU
rnacentral:rRNA from 1 species